UGGGGAAUAUUGCACAAUGGGGGGAACCCUGAUGCAGCCAUGCCGCGUGAAUGAAGAAGGCCUUCGGGUUGUAAAGUUCUUUCGGUGACGAGGAAGGUUGGUAUGUUAAUAGCAUAUCAAAUUGACGUUAAUCACAGAAGAAGCACCGGCUAACUCCGUGCCAGCAGCCGCGGUAAUACGGGGGGUGCGAGCGUUAAUCGGAAUAACUGGGCGUAAAGGGCACGCAGGCGGUUAUUUAAGUGAGGUGUGAAAGCCCUGGGCUUAACCUGGGAAUUGCAUUUCAGACUGGGUAACUAGAGUACUUUAGGGAGGGGUAGAAUUCCACGUGUAGCGGUGAAAUGCGUAGAGAUGUGGAGGAAUACCGAAGGCGAAGGCAGCCCCUUGGGAAUGUACUGACGCUCAUGUGCGAAAGCGUGGGGAGCAAACAGGAUUAGAUACCCUGGUAGUCCACGCUGUAAACGCUGUCGAUUUGGGGAUUGGGCUUAGAGCUUGGUGCCCGUAGCUAACGUGAUAAAUCGACCGCCUGGGGAGUACGGCCGCAAGGUUA
rnacentral:rRNA from 1 species